AUUGAACGCUGGCGGCAUGCCUUACACAUGCAAGUCGAACGGUAACAGGUCUUCGGAUGCUGACGAGUGGCGAACGGGUGAGUAAUACAUCGGAACGUGCCUAGUAGUGGGGGAUAACUACUCGAAAGAGUGGCUAAUACCGCAUGAGAUCUACGGAUGAAAGCAGGGGAUCGCAAGACCUUGUGCUACUAGAGCGGCCGAUGGCAGAUUAGGUAGUUGGUGGGAUAAAAGCUUACCAAGCCGACGAUCCGUAGCUGGUCUGAGAGGACGAUCAGCCACACGGGGACUAGGACACGGCCCAGACUCCUACGGGAGGCAGCAGUGGGGAAUUUCGGACAAUGGGCGAAAGCCUGAUCCAGCAAUGCCGCGUGCAGGAUGAAGGCCUUCGGGUUGUAAACUGCUUUUGUACGGAACGAAAAGCCCCGGGUUAAUACCCUGGGGUCAUGACGGUACCGUAAGAAUAAGCACCGGCUAACUACGUGCCAGCAGCCGCAGUAA
rnacentral:rRNA from 1 species